rnacentral:rRNA from 1 species
UACAGAGGGUGCGAGCGUUAAUCGGAAUUACUGGGCGUAAAGCGCACGUAGGUGGCGACGUAAGUCGGGUGUGAAAGCCCCGGGCUCAACCUGGGAAUUGCAUUCGAGACUGCAUUGCUGGAGUACGGAAGAGGAAGGCGGAAUUCCCGGUGUAGCGGUGAAAUGCGUAGAUAUCGGGAGGAACAUCAGUGGCGAAGGCGGCCUUCUGGUCCAGUACUGACGCUGAGGAGCGAAAGCGUGGGGAGCGAACAGG